UCAAGCAAGGUUACCGAAAUA
ensembl:piRNA 21ur-1983 ncRNA